CAGUCGCCGCGGGAAUACGAAGGGUGCAAGCGUUAAUCGGAAUUACUGGGCGUAAAGCGCACGCAGGCGGUCUGACAAGUCAGAUGUGAAAUCCCCGGGCUUAACCUGGGAACUGCAUUUGAAACUGUCAGGCUGGAGUCUUGUAGAGGGGGGUAGAAUUCCAGGUGUAGCGGUGAAAUGCGUAGAGAUCUGGAGGAAUACCGGUGGCGAAGGCGGCCCCCUGGACAAAGACUGACGCUCAGGUGCGAAAGCGUGGGGAGCAAACAGGAUUAGAUACCCCUGUAGUCCCUGUCUCUUAUAC
rnacentral:rRNA from 1 species